rnacentral:rRNA from 1 species
UCGCUGUUAGAUUAGCAUGCAUGUCUCAGUAUAGCUUCUAUACGGCGAAACUGCGAAUGGCUCACUAAAACAGUUAUAGUUUAUUUGGUGGUCAGCAAUUACAUGGAUAACCGUGGUAAUUCUAGAGCUAAUACAUGCGCCCAGACCCGACUUCGUGGAAGGGUUGUGUUUAUUAGAUACAGAACCAACCCAGGCUCCGCCUGGCCUUGAGGUGAUUCAUAAUAACCGAACGAAUCGCAUGGCUAUGCCGGCGAUAGACCAUUCAAGUUUCUGACCUAUCAGCUAUCGUCGGUAGGGUAUUGGCCUACCGUGGCAAUGACGGGUAACGGAGAAUUAGGGUUCGAUUCCGGAGAGGGAGCCUGAGAAACGGCUACCACAUCUAAGGAAGGCAGCAGGCGCGCAAAUUACCCAAUCCUGACGCAGGGAGGUAGUGACAAGAAAUAACAAUACAGGGCAUACAUGUCUUGUAAUUGGAAUGAGUAAACUUUAAAUCACUUUAC